CCUACGGGAGGCANCAGUGGGGAAUUUUGGACAAUGGGCGCAAGCCUGAUCCAGCAAUGCCGCGUGCAGGAUGAAGGCCUUCGGGUUGUAAACUGCUUUUGUACGGAACGAAAAGGUCUGCCUUAAUACGGUGGGCCCAUGACGGUACCGUAAGAAUAAGCACCGGCUAACUACGUGCCAGCAGCCGCGGUAAUACGUAGGGUGCGAGCGUUAAUCGGAAUUACUGGGCGUAAAGCGUGCGCAGGCGGUUAUAUAAGACAGAUGUGAAAUCCCCGGGCUCAACCUGGGACCUGCAUUUGUGACUGUAUAGCUAGAGUACGGUAGAGGGGGAUGGAAUUCCGCGUGUAGCAGUGAAAUGCGUAGAUAUGCGGAGGAACACCGAUGGCGAAGGCAAUCCCCUGGACCUGUACUGACGCUCAUGCACGAAAGCGUGGGGAGCAAACAGGAUUAGAUACCCUGGUAGUCCACGCCCUAAACGAUGUCAACUGGUUGUUGGGUCUUCACUGACUCAGUAACGAAGCUAACGCGUGAAGUUGACCGCCUGGGGAGUACGGCCGCAAGGUUGAAACUUAAAGUGAAUUGACGG
rnacentral:rRNA from 1 species